GGCAUUCCUAUUCUUUUCAAGAUCAAUAAAGUUCAAAAAAAUAAAGUCUUGUUUAUUCUUUCUAUUUUUACAAAGAAGAACAGUAAUCUUAAGCCGGAGGUUCCUUUUAUCAAAUUAUCUCAAUUAAAGUAAGAUGUAGGGAAGCUUUAAAGAAGGCGACCUACGAUCUCGUAUGAACAAUUAAGGUAUGUUAAGGCUAUACAUUCCUUCUUUUGGCAUGAUCCACGCAAUGAUACAUAAACGUAAUGAUAUUCCAUAAGUGGUUCUACCCUUUAGUAGUUAAGGAUGUCUAUGUUAUUCAUUCACGUAAAGUUAUAUUCAAGCACGUCUAAGUAUGUUUCUGAGUCCCCAUAUGUCCUACUACCAUAUUGUUUGUUCAUGGGUCAUAUAACAUUCCAAAAAGAUUAUAUUGACUUACUUCAUUAUGCAUUGCAUUUAUUUAUACAUGUGCAUUUACCCAUGACUCAGACGAUGUUAUAUACACGUAUAUAUGUAUUUAUAUAUGUAUAUGGGAUAUGGAAAAAGGUUAUGGCGUCAUAUACGCAUCUCCACCUAAUCAGCUGGUAUACGUUGAUGAUGUUGCCCAUAGUGGCCGAAAUGAUAUGAUGGAAUGUCCUCAAAGGCUUAAUGAUGAUAUGUACAUAUAGGCCUAUGCAUUACAGGACAUUUAGACGCAUAUGCAUGACAUUAUAGAUAUUCAUGACUUACAUAUCUAUCCAAAUAUACAAGUUGAGUCAUUUACUCCAUAUUUCUUUAAUAUCCUUAAUUAAUGUUGACUUACUAUUAUGUUUUAGUUCUACCUUACAUACUCAGUACAUUGUUCGUACUGACGUCCUUUUGUUGGGGAUGCUGCAUUCAUGCCUGCAGGUAUAGAUAAUCAGUUUGACAAGCCCUCAUAGUAAACGAGGUUAGCAUUCAGUGAAGGAUCGGUAAGACUCCACCUCAUUUGGAGUGCAGCUGAGGCUACUACAUACUUAUGAGUCAGUCGGUACCCUGUCCCAUUUGAUGUUUAAUAAUCUUCGAGGCUUUGUAGACACAGGUUUAUUUUGUAUAGUAUGUUAGAGGCCUUGACGGCCCAUAUGUAUUCAUGUUUUAUGAACGAUGUUUCAUUGAUAGAACAUUUUCCCACUUACAAUUGUACAUUAUGAGUUGUGACCAUAUUGGUCCAUGAUAGUUACAAAGAAAAUAAUGAGUUAUAGAGUGGUUUGCUCGGGCAAGUACGGCACCGGGUGCCAGCCACGCCUCCCCGGGCUCGGGGCGUGACACUUGCACAUGAAUACACCUUAGCAUAUCACUUGUACUACUCUAGGAGUAUGAAAUUUGAUGUUCAUUGAUCAUGUAUAUGUAUUCUUGUAUAUAUUCUUUUUGUAUUAUAUGGAUUGGACUGGUAGCAUGUGACCACGUCGGGUAGAUUAUGAUAUUGAGCCUAUGACCACACCGGUGGAUUGUGAUAUUGAUCCUCUGACCACGCCAGGAAGAUUGUGAUAUUGGCACAUGAGUUGUCCGUGAAACACAUGAGUUGUCCGUGAAACACGUGAGUUGUCCGUGUGGAUCUGAGAUAUUGAUAUUAUUGGCCGGUGAGUUGUGCGUGUUGAUAUUAUUAGCAUUUGAGUUGUUAGUGCAACACGUGAGUUGUCUAUGCAGCGUGUGGAUAUGGAUCCAUCCCCCUAGGGUCACUCUCUCAUGUUCCUUCUUGUUGGUGUACACGCAGUUUGAGGAAAGCCAAUUAAUGAUUUGGUUUAGUUAUUGAGAUUCUGAUGAAAAGGUGGCCAGUGUUUGAUUUGGUUAUUGCAUUUCAUAUGUACUUGCAAUUUUCUUAGUUUUGUUUACCUGUUUUGUUUGCAUAUCUU
rnacentral:lncRNA from 1 species